rnacentral:rRNA from 1 species
ACGUUGGAAAUUUAUUUUCAGUGUCGCAGGGAAACCGAUAAACACACCGCCUGGGGAGUACGACCGCAAGGUUAAAACUCAAAUGAAUUGACGGGGACCCGCACAAGUAGUGGAGCAUGUGGUUUAAUUCGAAGAUACGCGCAGAACCUUACCAACACUUGACAUGUUCGUCGCGACUCUAAGAGAUUAGAGUUUUCGGUUCGGCCGGACGAAACACAGGUGCUGCAUGGCUGUCGUCAGCUCGUGUCGUGAGAUGUUGGGUUAAGUCCCGCAACGAGCGCAACCCUCACUUUUAGUUGCCAUCAUUAAGUUGGGCACUCUGAAAGAACUGCCAGUGAUAAGCUGGAGGAAGGUGGGGAUGACGUCAAGUCCUCAUGGCCCUUACGUGUUGGGCUACACACGUGCUACAAUGGCAUCUACAACAGGAAGCAAAACGGCAACGUUAAGCAAAUCCCGAAAAGAUGCCUCAGUUCGGAUUGCACUCUGCAACUCGAGUGCAUGAAGCUGGAAUUACUAGUAAUCGUGGAUCAGCGUGCCACGGUGAAUGCGUUCCCGGGUCUUGUACACACCGCCCGUCACACCAUGGGAGUUGGUUCUACCUUAAGGCAAGGUUUUAAACCCUUGACCACGGUAUAGUCAGCGACUGGGGUGAAGUCGUAACAAGGUAGCCGUAGGGGAACCUGCGGCUGGAUUACCUCCUUU